rnacentral:rRNA from 1 species
AGGAUGAACGCUAGCGGCAGGCUUAAUACAUGCAAGGUUAGGGGCAGCAUGAUAUACGCGAGUAUAUUGAUGGCGACCGGCGGACGGGUGGGUAAUAGGUAGGAGACCUACCUCAUACAGGGGGAUAGCAUAGAGAAAUCUGUGGUAAUACCCCAUGAGGUUAUAUGAAUAGAGGCAUAUAAUCAAAGCAUAAGCGAUUAUGCGGUAUGAGAGGGGCCUACUGACCAUUAGCUAGUUGGUGAGGUAAGGGCUCACCAAGGCGAAGAUGGUUAGGGGUUUUGAGAGAGAGACCCCCCACAUUGGAACUGAGAGACGGUCCAGACUCCUACGGGAGGCAGCAGUAGGGAAUAUUGGGCAAUGGGCGAAAGCCUGACCCAGCCAUGCCGUGUGAAGGAAGACGGCCUUAUGGGUUGUAAACUUCUUUACUACGCGAAUAGAGGUUAGUACGAGAUACUAAUAGGAAGGUAGUGUAGUAAAAAGCACCGGCUAACUCCGUG